rnacentral:lncRNA from 10 species
UUCCCACGUACGGUCAAAAAGCAAACAUGAGAGUCUGCUAUAGUGAGAUGGAAAUGGCUAGCUUGCCUUUUUCUUGUCUAUUUCAUAGCCAAGGAUGAAGGAAAAACUGGACCUCAUUAUGGAUUUACUUUUGGGAUACACUCAUUAUUCCAGAGGAGGGUAAAAGGCUGAGAAGCUUAAGGUAUUUCAGUCUGUUUUAUGUUACUCAUUUGCGAAAAGCAGGCUCAUCGAAUACAGGUGAGUUUCAACGCGUCUUGAAUAUGGCAGCAUUUAAAAGUCUUCAGACCAGGCAUGGUGGCUCAUGCCUGUCAUCCCAGCACUUUGGGAGGCCAAGGUGGGAGGAUUGCUUGAGGCCAGGAGUUCGAGACCAGCCUGUUCAGCAUAGCAGGACCCCCAUCUCUACAAAAACUAAACAGAUUAGCUAGGUGUGGUGGUGUGUGCCUGUAGUCCUAGCUGCUUGGGAGGCUGAGGCAGGCGGAUAGCCUGAGCACAGGAGUUGGAGGCUGCAGUAAGCCAUGAUUACACCACUGCACUUGAGCCUGGGCAGCAGAGUGAGACCUGUCUUUUAAAAAAAAAAGGAGCUGGGCACGGUGGCUCAUGCCUGUAAUCCCAGCACUUUGGGAGGCCGAGGCAGGCAGAUCACGAGGUCAGGAGAUCGAGACCAUCCUGGCUAACAGUGAAACCCUGUCUCUACUGAAAAUACAAAAAAAAUCAGCCGGGCGUGGUGGCGGGUGCCUGUAGUCCCAGCUGCUCGGGAGGCUGAGGCAGGAGAAUGGCAUGAACCCAGGAGUUGGAGCUUGCAGUGAGCCGAGAUUGUGCCACUGCACUCCAGCCUGGGCGACAGUGAGACUGCUUCUCAAAAAAAAAAAAAAAAAAAAAAAAAAAAAGAAAGGGUCUUCAAAGACAAUAAGAUCUGUGCUCUCACGUAGGGUGGAUGAGGGGCUGCCAAGUUAGCAAUGAAUGUUUCCCAUUUCUUCUUAGUUUAUGGACUUUCCAUAAACUCAGGAUGGCAGUUUGGUUGGUUGGAGAAGGAUAUGGUGAUGGCGGGAGUUACAAUACAUUACUUAUAGGGGAAGAUAGGCUUUUGAAAGGUUAAAGCUUAAAAGUGAGAAUGGAAAAGGGAUGAAUGAAUGAACAUGAUGAGGUGAGAGGGAAGAGGUAAAGGGAAAAGGAGAACAAGCAACUCUUCUCUGCGUGGCACCUGGGAUGAAUGGUUUCUGGGGACAUCCCUGAUGGCAGUUUUGUGGAGAGGUGCAAAGCUUUAUGUGUUAAGAAAUGAGCUGUAGGCUCAGUGCAGUGGCUCACGCCUGUAAUCCCAGCACUUUGGGAGGCCGAGGUGGGUGAAAAGAAAAAAUGGGCUGGGCGCCGUGGCUUACGCCUGUAAUCCCAGCACUUUGGGAGGCCGAGGUGGGCGGAUCAUGAGGUAAGGAGUUCGAGAGCAGCCUGGCCAACAUGGUGAAACCGUGUCUCUCCAAAAAAAUAGAAAAAACAUCCCUGUAUGGUGGUGAGCACCUGUAGUCCCAGUUACUCAGGAGGCUGAGGCAUGAGAAUCGCUUAAACCUCGGAGGCGGAGGCUGCAAUGAGCUGAGAUGGUGCCACUGCACUCCAGCCUGGGUGACAGAGCUGGGUGGUGGCUCAAGAUAUGUUUUGUAAACCUGAAGAUUUGAGAUCAUAUAAGCCAAAUCGAAACUUAAUUGGCAUUCAUAACUUUUGGUUCUAGAGACUCCAUGAUCAACUAAGAGCCACCAAACAUUUCCCAUGUAGACUAUUUUGACCAUGCUGACUCUACUGACACUGUGGUUACUGAAUUCACUUUAUCUCUAGAAAUUAAUUCUUACUAAUGGAUGUCUGUCACUGUAAGAUCCUUCUCUCCUCUGAAAUAAGGAGAACAUUUUAACUUCAGUAGUUUAAACUAGUGUCCUAAACUAUAGCAUUCAAAAUGAGAUAAUAUGCUAAAGUAAUACACAAACCAAAAAUCCCAGUGGCUAACACAAAAAGUUUUUCUUACUCAUUUUACAUAUCCAGGGUAAGUCAGUAAUAGACGCAGACACACCCAGAGACCAAGGAUGAGUUGUGAUCUGUCUGCACACAUAGUUCACAAUGCCUGAGUGAGUUGUGCUUUGGCCUUUAAACUUCCACUCAUGUUUAAUUAAUAAAGAUUUUGCUCAAAUGCCAUUUGAUGAUGAGUUUCAUGACGAUGAUCAACUUUAAAAGAACUUGGAAGUACAAUCCUCAAGCGUUUCUGGAAAUAGCAGAACUACAAUAUUUGAGAAAAAUAUUUUUUAAUGUAUAAAAAAUUGGCAGGGUAGGCUAGCAAGCAAGAGACCUAGAGAAAAGUUGAUGUUACAGUCUCAAGUCGAAAGGCAAUCUGCAGGCAGAAUUAUUUCCUUGAGGGAUCUCAGUCUUUUAAUAUAAUCAAUUGACUGGAUGAGCCCUACAAUAUUUUGGAAAAUAAUCUGCUUUUCUCAGAAAUUACUGAUUUUCAUGUUAAUCUCAUCUAACAAUACUUUCAGAGCAACAUCUAUACUGGUAUUUGAAUAUAUAACUCUUUUAUCUUUUAAAAUAUCAAAUAAUACAGUUAUAUAUAUAUACACACAUAUGUAUAUAUGUCACCUAAAUUGUAGAUAUCAGAAAUCAGAAUGCUGUGAUAUGAAUAUUUAGUAUAUUUUAAUCAUGAUAAAUUAUACAUCCUUCUACCUUAUGAUAAUGGAUUUUAAGAUCUAUGCUGUUAAACUCUAUAUUUAUCCUUUAAUUCAUAUCUUGCUUAUUUUACAUUUAUCUGAGAAUACAUUGGGUCUACUAAAUCUUUACUAUCAUUCACAAGUCUUACAUCUUAAGAUAACUUUUCAAUAAAAUAAAAAUUCUUCAUUGCACCUAGAAAGGAGCAGGGUUUUGAAAGCGAUCAAUGAUUACUCUGAUACCUAAUAUAAUAAUAUAAUAUAGUAAAAAUCAAAAUACUUGAAUGAAAAAUGUAAAAUUAAUAGUUUUGCUUUCAUUGUUUUUAUUCCAGUGUCUAUUUUAGAAUGUUUUUACUCUAAUUGUGUUUUUAUGCAAAACCAAAUGAGCUUUAGAUAAUUCCAUUGAUACAUUACAUAUGAAAGUUCUCGUUAAAUAGGAUAUAGCAUAUUUUACUUAAAAAUCCAAAUUAUAAAAUAAAGAGGGAUUUUAAGUUGAGUCUAAAAUUUUUGUUUCAAUUUUGUUUUUAUUUAAAGACUUGCUAUAAUUCUGUGAGAGAGCUAUAAAAGUCUGCUCAGAAACAUUAUAAUGUAAAAUGGACAGAGAAGGACAAUGAGAUAUUUAAUUUGCCACGGCAAAGCCAUUGCUGUGAAGAAUGGAUAAUAUAUGUCAAUGGUAAUAUAUGAAGAAAUAACACAGGUGAAUAGCAGAGGCAAUAAAUCUGUUUUUACCACAGGACUUGUCUUACACUUUUCUCUUAGUAAUAAAUAAAAUAAUUUUCGACCAGAUGGAGCUGGCUUGAAAUCCUCUUGUUUAUGGCAGUACAUAUCGGUUAUGAUUCAAAAAAUAUAGCCCAUUUCCAAAAACCUGCAACAAAGAGAUACUUUCUCAGGUGUCAGUUUCUUGGUCGGGAAUGAAAAUAGUGCCAACCUGUGAUACCUUCACUCUAAUUUUACUUUCUGAGGAAGUUUUCUGUAAUAGUUAUUUGGUGAUAAUUAUUAAUACUGGCUACACAAAAAGUGUCAAUAGCAUUACCUUUGCAAUUGCACCACUAAUAAAAACAUAGGAAUCAAACAGACGAAUAAAAUGCUCCCUGCCCACACAGCCAUAACAUCCUAUGGCCCUGAAAAUAGUUCUGCCAAGCUGCGUGCAGUGGACACUUCACGGCUGGCACAGGAGAGAUCACAAGGCCUUGCUCAAUUUCAUCAAAAGUGUUAAAGCGACUCAGCAGAUUGUGAAGCACAAGUGGAAGCUGAUAAUUGGUGUUUCUUACAAAUCAACGGCUUGUCUCCACACAUCAAGGUAAAGGCGUCCUCUACACCAAAGAAAAUGUAAAUUGGGAUAGAAGGUCAUUAUGUUUUUAAAUAAACUUGGUUAAAUUUGUAGAAAGGGCAAUGGUAAAUACUGAGCUCACAUGUCAGAUGGAGAGAAAACUUGAGAAAAGGGAAGAAGAUAAUGAGCUGGAACCUUUACCAUUUAGACUUUCUCUGGCUAGCUUUCUGAGAAUGAUCAUCAAAC